rnacentral:rRNA from 1 species
CCCGCUGAACUUAAGCAUAUCAAUAAGCGGAGGAAAAGAAACUAACAAGGAUUCCCCUAGUAACUGCGAGUGAAGCGGGAAGAGCUCAAAUUUAAAAUCUGGCGGUCUCACGGCCGUCCGAGUUGUAAUCUGGAGAAGCGUUUUCCGCGUCGGACCGUGUACAAGUCUUCUGGAACGGAGCGUCGUAGAGGGUGAGAAUCCCGUCUCUGACACGGACAGCCGAUGCUUCAUGUGAUACGCUCUCGAAGAGUCGAGUUGUUUGGGAAUGCAGCUCAAAAUGGGUGGUAAAUUCCAUUUAAAGCUAAAUAUUGGCGAGAGACCGAUAGCGAACAAGUACCGUGAGGGAAAGAUGAAAAGCACUUUGGAAAGAGAGUUAAACAGUACGUGAAAUUGUUGAAAGGGAAGCGCUUGCAACCAGACCUGCCUGCAGUUGUUCAUCUGGGCUUUUGCCCGGUGCACUCUUCUGCUGUCAGGCCAGCAUCAGUUCGGGCGGUCGGAUAAAGGCUUUGGGAAUGUAGCUCCUCUCGGGGAGUGUUAUAGCCCGUUGCGAAAUGCGGCCAGCCUGGACUGAGGUCCGCGCUUCGGCUAGGAUGCUGGCGUAAUGGUUGUAAGCGGCCCGUCUUGAAACACGG